GGGGAAUCUUCCGCAAUGGACGAAAGUCUGACGGAGCAACGCCGCGUGAGUGAUGACGGCCUUCGGGUUGUAAAGCUCUGUUAAUCGGGACGAAUGGUUCUUGUGCGAAUAGUGCGAGGAUUUGACGGUACCGGAAUAGAAAGCCACGGCUAACUACGUGCCAGCAGCCGCGGUAAUACGUAGGUGGCAAGCGUUGUCCGGAAUUAUUGGGCGUAAAGCGCGCGCAGGCGGAUUGGUCAGUCUGUCUUAAAAGUUCGGGGCUUAACCCCGUGAUGGGAUGGAAACUGCCAAUCUAGAGUAUCGGAGAGGAAAGUGGAAUUCCUAGUGUAGCGGUGAAAUGCGUAGAUAUUAGGAAGAACACCAGUGGCGAAGGCGACUUUCUGGACGAAAACUGACGCUGAGGCGCGAAAGCCAGGGGAGCGAACGGGAUUAGAUACCCCGGUAGUCCUGGCCGUAAACGAUGGGUACUAGGUGUAGGAGGUAUCGACCCCUUCUGUGCCGGAGUUAACGCAAUAAGUACCCCGCCUGGGGAGUACGACCGCAAGGCUG
rnacentral:rRNA from 1 species